GUGCUCGCUUCGGCAGCACAUAUACUAAAAAAUUGGAAUGAUACAGAGAAGAUUAGCAUGGCCCCUGCGNCGCAAAUUUUUGAAGGCUUCCAAAAAAAA
rnacentral:snRNA from 1 species